rnacentral:rRNA from 1 species
UACGGGGGGGGGUAAGCGUUGUUCGGAAUUACUGGGCGUAAAGGGCUCGUAGGCGGCCAACUAAGUCGGACGUGAAAUCCCUCAGCUUAACUGGGGAACUGCGUCCGAUACUGGAUGGCUUGGAUUCGGGAGAGGAAUGCGGAAUUCCAGGUGUAGCGGUGAAAUGCGUAGAUAUCUGGAGGAACACCGGUGGCGAAGGCGGCAUUCUGGACCGACAUUGACGCUGAGGAGCGAAAGCCAGGGGAGCAAACAGG